rnacentral:rRNA from 1 species
GAUGAACGCUGGCGGCGUGCCUAACACAUGCAAGUCGAACGGAGAUUAGACGCUGACGAGACUUCGGUCAAAUCUUGUUUAAUCUUAGUGGCGGACGGGUGAGUAACGCGUGGGCAACCUGCCUCAUACUGGGGGAUAGCAGUUGGAAACGACUGAUAAUACCGCAUAAGCGCACGAGAUCGCAUGAUCUUGUGUGAAAAACUCCGGUGGUAUGAGAUGGGCCCGCGUCAGAUUAGCUAGUUGGUAAGGUAACGGCUUACCAAGGCGACGAUCUGUAGCCGGACUGAGAGGUCGGACGGCCACAUUGGGACUGAGACACGGCCCAAACUCCUACGGGAGGCAGCAGUGGGGGAUAUUGCACAAUGGAGGAAACUCUGAUGCAGCGACGCCGCGUGAGUGAAGAAGUAUUUCGGUAUGUAAAGCUCUAUCAGCAGGGAAGAAAGGCUCGUAAGAGAGAUGACGUAC